rnacentral:tRNA from 1 species
UCCCUGGUGGCUCAGACAAUAAAAGCAUCUGCCUAUAAUGCAGGAGACCCGGGUCCAAUCCCUGGCUCAGGAA